rnacentral:rRNA from 1 species
CUACGGGGGGCUGCAGUGGGGAAUAUUGGACAAUGGGGGAAACCCUGAUCCAGCAAUGCCGCGUGUGUGAAGAAGGCCUGCGGGUUGUAAAGCACUUUCGGUUGGGAGGACUGCUUCUAGCACUAAUAUUGUUGGAAGUUGACGUUACCUUCAGAAGAAGCACCGGCUAACUCCGUGCCAGCAGCCGCGGUAAUACGGAGGGUACAAGCGUUAAUCGGAAUUACUGGGCGUAAAGCGCGCGUAGGCGGCUAGAUCAGUCGGGUGUGAAAGCCCGGGCUUAACCUGGGAACUGCAUCCGAUACUGUCUAGCUUGAGUACAGGAGAGGAGAGUGGAAUUCCACAUGUAGCGGUGAAAUGCGUAGAUAUGUGGAGGAACACCAAUGGCGAAGGCAGCUCUCUGGCCUGAUACUGACGCUGAGGUGCGAAAGCGUGGGGAGCAAACAGGAUUAGAUACCCGUGUAGUC